rnacentral:rRNA from 1 species
AGUUUGAUCCUGGCUCAGGAUGAACGCUAGCGGCAGGCCUAAUACAUGCAAGUCGAACGGGUAGCAAUACCAGUGGCGCACGGGUGCGUAACGCGUAUGCAAUCUACCUUUCACUGGGGAAUAACCUUGGGAAACCAAGGCUAAUACCGCAUAAGACAGUGUUCUGGCAUCAGGAAGCUGUUAAAGAUUUAUCGGUGAAAGAUGAGCAUGCGUCUGAUUAGCUAGUUGGUGAGGUAACGGCUCACCAAGGCGACGAUCAGUCGGGGUUCUGAGAGGAAGAUCCCCCACACUGGCACUGAGAUACGGGCCAGACUCCUACGGGAGGCAGCAGUAGGGAAUAUUGGGCAAUGGUCGCAAGACUGACCCAGCCAUGCCGCGUGCAGGACGAAGGCCCUCUGGGUUGUAAACUGCUUUUGCAGGUGAAGAAAAAGUGGUUUGCGAACCAUGUUGACGGUAGCCUGCGAAUCAGCCACGGCUAACUACGUGCCAGCAGCCGCGGUAAUACGUAGGUGGCAAGCGUUGUCCGGAUUUAUUGGGUUUAAAGGGUGCGUAGGCGGAUGCUUAAGUCAGAGGUGAAAGACGGCCGCUCAACGGUCGCAGUGCCUUUGAUACUGAGUAUCUUGAGUGCAGACGAGGUCUGUGGAAUGGAUGGUGUAGCGGUGAAAUGCUUAGAUACCAUCCAGAACACCAAUUGCGAAGGCAGCAGACUAGGGUGCAACUGACGCUGAGGCACGAAAGUGCGGGGAUCAAACAGGAUUAGAUACCCUGGUAGUCCGCACUGUAAACGAUGAUAACUAGCUGUUAGCGAUAGACUGUUAGCGGCACAGCGAAAGCGUUAAGUUAUCCACCUGGGGAGUACGCCGGCAACGGUGAAACUCAAAUGAAUUGACGG